ACAGCAUUCAGUCCAUUCACUAAACAUAGACAAUAGCCAAACUGAGAAUAGCCUAAAGCUGGAGGUCAACCUAUGGAAUCCACUUGGACUGCUGCAAGGGAAAGUGUGGGCCUUCCUGAAGAAGGGUGCUUUCCUCCAGAGCUUUGGGUGUUCGCUGCGCUUCUGGUCCAGUGAGGCGCCCACUGCCGCUCCCGAUGCUGAUCGUCGCCAUUGCAGACCCACUGUUGACUUCCACCCCUGUCGAUCUGGCAGGGUGUUUGCUGCGCUUCUGAUCCAGUGAGGCGCCCACUGCUGCUCCCGAUUGGGCUAGAGGCUCACUGUUGUUCCUGCACAGCUAAGUGCCCGGAUUCGUUCUAAUCAAGCUGAAUACUACUCGCUGGGUUCCAUGGUUCUCUGCCCUGACCCAUGGCUUCUAAUAGAGCUACAACACUCACCGCAUGGCCCAAGGUUCCAUUCCUUGGAAUCCGUGAGGCCAAGAACCCCAGGUCAGAGAACAAAAGGCUUGCCGCCAUCUUGGGAGCGGCCUGCCGCCAUCUUGGGAGCUCUAAAAUCAAAGACCAGCCUGUAACACCAGCAUUCCCAGCCUGACAAAGAUCCCAGGUCCAGACUGGACACCCACCCUUAGAGCCUCCAGACCAGAAGAGGCCACGUGCUUAAGAUGGCUGAUGUAUCUGCAGAGAGAAGAAGGGCCUCCCCGAGGCUUUGGUGCAACAAAAGAACUGAGAGAAGAACUUUUAUCUGAAGAAUGUGAGUUUUUUAAAAUUAUCAGGCCAAAAGGGACAUUAAAAUGAGAGAGCAAUCACCUCUGGCGUUCCCCUUGAGCUACGUGUUCACCCCUUGAAACUUCUUGCUGUUGCCACGAUAAAGGGGACCAGCUCCUCCACGUGGACCUGCGGGUGUUUCUCAUCAGGUGGAACAAGAGACUGAGAAAAGAAAUAAGAGACAGAGACAAAGUAUAGAGAAAGAAAAGCGGGCCCAGGGGACCGGCGCACAGCAUACGGAGGACCCGCACCAGCACUGGUCUCUGAGUUCCCUCAGUAUUUAUUGAUCAUUAUCUCUACCAUCUUGGAGAGGGGG
rnacentral:lncRNA from 10 species